rnacentral:tRNA from 1 species
UAGCUCAGUUGGUAGAGUGCUUGCCUUAUAUGCACAAGGCCCUGGGUUCAAUCCCCAG